UACAGAGGUCUCAAGCGUUGUUCGGAUUCAUUGGGCGUAAAGGGUGCGUAGGUGGCGCUGUAAGUCGGGUGUGAAAUUUCGGAGCGUUAACUCCCGAAACUGCAUUCGAUAACUGCGGUGCUUGAGGACUGGAGGAGGAGACUGGAAUUCAUGGUGUAGCAGUGAAAUGCGUAGAGAUCAUGAGGAAGACCAGUGGCGAAGGCGGGUCUCUGGACAGUUCCUGACACUGAGGCACGGAAGGCCAGGGGAGCAAACGGG
rnacentral:rRNA from 1 species